AGUGCCACGGUACUUUGCAAGCUCUCAUGUACUACCAGAAGUCAGUCCAUCAAAUGCAGUGGAUGGAGACUGAAGUAAUUCUGAGAAAAAUAAAAGCGAGUGACUAGUGAGUCCUGCUUAUAAUAAGAUGUUGAUGCUGUGACUGGGAACUGGUGUCUGCAUCCCAUGUGACAGAGCUGUCUAAAGACGGGUGUACGAUGGAUAAGAAUACCAUUUCCUUCAAAACUGCUGAAACAUCAUCAUCAUCAACAGUCAUCUGUGUUUAUCGAUACAGUCCAGACAGUGUACCAGAUGCAGAUCAGAAGGCAUAUGACUUGCUCUGCUGAAAGAUAUCUGACUAAUAAAUAGAAUUUCAUGUAUGCCAGUAAACAGUGGGAUAUAUGUCCAUUUUCAGUAGAGGCCCGGGGAGAAAAGCUCCAACAGUCAUUACAAGUUAAAUAGAGAAUAGGCAAUACAAAAUUAAAAUUUAUAAACAGAGCUAGUUAAUACACAUAAUACACAAAUAUGAUAGGAGCAAAA